AUGUCAGAUGAACCUGGGGUGAGUGGAUUGCCGGUGUGUUCUCUGUCCCCCUCCCGCAGAGAGGAAGGAGAAUUGGAUUUGGACUCAGUUCACAUGUUGCUGCGUAGCUUCCAGCAAGAGCUCAGGGACACAGAGAGAGAGCGGGAUGAGGCACAAGCACAAGAUGAGGCGGUUCAGCGUGGGGAGUUACAGAAUAGGAUUAUGAGUGAAGAGCUGGCCAAAAUGAAGAACAGCCAACAGAUAACUGAGGCAGAGGCCAAAGCACUGCAGGUUAACACUCAUAUAUUCUACACUAACACAAAGAUAGUUUGCAGAGUUCAGUGCAGGAGUGAUCAGCAACUUUUCAGGACAGAAGUUAAACACUGUUUUAAAAGAUGUAUGCAUUAUCAUUACACAUGUUUGGGGAAAAAAGUUUAUUUUUUUUUUACUCCACUAUGAAAACACUCAAUGGGAUUUUUACUUCUGGAAUCCAAGCGAUGCACCAACUCUCUCACACAGCACCACAGUAAGAUAUAACGAGUAGGAAUUAUCAAGUGUUCACUGCCACUCCACAAUAAAAAUCUUUGAUGAGUUGCAUAUACUGUUGUAUUCAGGAGAAGCUGGAGUGCUACCAGACCUCUGAGGAAAGUCUCGAAGUUGAGCAUCGCCGUAUGAAGGAGACCUGUGAGGCCACGGAAGCUCGAGCUGCCAGACUGGAACUCACACGCUGGGGGUUGGGGGGAGAGCUGCAGCAUGCCCAGCUCUGAGCCACAGAGAUGGAGUCAGAGGUCAGCUCACUGCAGGAACGCCUUAACAAACUCCGCAGAGAACUGAGAGACAGUGAAGAGCGUGCUUCCCUCCUGAAGGUGUGUGUAGCUUUGUGCUGUGUCUAAAAGGAUAUCAGUCAUGUUUGAGCAAUAUAAUGCAGCACUGUUGUUCCAUUGUAGGUUGAGGGUGAGAGGUUGGCAACUGCCUUGGCACACACAGAACUGCAGGAGAGCCAGUUGAGGGAGCAACUGCAGGCCAUGGCUGCAUCCCUGACUGAAAGCAAUGCUGCUGCAGGAACAGCACAGGAUCAGGCUGCCCAGCUGCAGCAAGUUCUCACAGCCAGCGAACAUGACUGGAAGAUGCUGCAGGUCAGUUUUGGUUUUAUAGUGUGCAUACGUUUGCAGUUUGAUAACUGCCUUACAAGUCUGACCAUAUACAAGCAAUACCCUAGCACCAAAAGUCCUACAACAGCAAGACAGAAGACAAGCUUGAACAACUCAACUUGAUGUAACUUAAGAUAACAUUAUUAAGCAAAUUCUCUUUUGAGGCUUUAUUAAAAAGACCAUAAAUCAUUUUUCUUCAUCGUGAACUCACAAACAACCUUAUUAAGUUCAGCCACAAUCUGUUUUGAUCUCAAUUCACCUCAGUUCAUGUNCUGGAUGACGGUGCAUUAAAACGCAGGACUGAACUCAUUAAUUUUCUCCAGCUCCUCUGGAGGGCUUUUAAGGCUUAGUAUGAGUCUGUUUUAAAAAUGCUGUACAAACAAAAACACUGCACCCUCAGAGUAAUUCUUUUUCAGUUUGCUUGAGACCUGCCAGCUCUUGCCAAUAAAAAGUGAUCCAGAGGAGAAAAUGAAAGAAAGAGUGGUUAGAAAGAUAAGAACACAGGACACUGGAAGUAGUGAGGAGAAGAACAGGCUCCUCAUUAAAACUGUAUGUGGGUGUGUGAUUAUGCAUGUGAUGCCUGUUCAUACUUGUAUGUGUGUGUAUAUGUGCACAGGAAAGGUUGGAUAAGACAUGGGAGGCUCUGACUUAAACAGUAGGAAGCAAAAUCAUGGGUUGAGUGAGAGACUACAGAUCCUGCAGAGAAGCCAGGAAGAGUCUGAACUCAGGGUCUCUGAACUGGAUAAACAGAAACGAGGCCUUCAGGAGGUUAUGCACACACACAUACUCUUAAAAUUUACACAAUGUUUUGAAGGGUUAGUUUGCCUAAAAUAAAAAUUCUGUUAUCAUUUACUCACCCUCAUUUUGUUCCAAACCCAUAAGACCAGCAUUUGUUCAUCUUAACUUGAAUAUCUGUGUGGGUGUGUAUAUGGUUUUGUGUGUACAGUUUAUUUAUAUAUAAAACUUGUUAAUAUAAUUUGGUCUGUGGAGGCAAAAGCAAUAAACAUAUACAUUCUUAAUUUCAAGCAAACUUUUUUUUGCAUUUUGUCACCAUUGUGCGCCCCUUUUCCUCUGUCUCUCAGUAGAACCAUUUCUGUGCCUGAAAAAAAACACAAAAUUAAAAAUAACAUACAACCAAAUGUGUCAGUUGAACGAAAUUCAAUUCAAUUCUCACACAGCAUCGUACCUUAACCAAAUACAAACACACUUAGUGUUAUCUCUUCCUUGUUAAGCUGAGGAAACCAUGGUGAUCUACACCAGUUGUGGUCUGGACAGUCAUGUAGACGGUGUCUAUUCUACAUUUCCUUUAAUUCAUUAGGCUGUGAGACAAAGGCUACAAGCUGACCAGGAGGUUCAGCUAUGCACUCUUGCAGGAAGAAAAGGAUCAGCUUCAGGAGCAGGUGGCUACCCUGCAGACCACUGCACUUCAGCUGCAGGGAGCGAAAGCUGAGCUGGAGAGGACACUGCUCCAUCCGGAAAUUGAUCAUUCAUCCAGGGUGCUUCUCUGCCUGCUGCCUAAGAUCGCUGGGAUAGAAUCUCUGAGGCUGUACAGACAAGCAGUUUUAAAAAAGGAUAGAUGGAUUACAGAAAAAAAAUAUUGUAUUACAUUAAUAAUAAUGUAUUAAUGCUAAUUAAUGUAUUAAUGCUAGAUUAAGCUUUGUGUUAAUGUCAUUUUCUGAAUAAAAUGUAAUUGGUUAUUGGUCCCAAGUAAACAAACAAGUCAAGUCAAUUUUCCAGUUCUUUUUGUAUUUGUAUUGGAUUCGCCUGUGACAGGAUGUUGUUAUGUGUUGUCUCUGCAGUCACAGAUCUCUAUCUUGGAGCAGACUCACACCCAGAGGCUCCUGGAAGUGAUGGCUCGCCACAGACAAGAGCUGGACCUGGAGACAGAGUGGAUGAAGGACUCCCAGCAACAGGCUGAGAGAGCACUGGAGGCCCAAGAGAAAGCUCACUGCGAGAGGGUCCACUGCUUGGAGGAACAGGUUUGAGAAAGCUAUAAAAAAUGUGAUGUAUUGUAAUAGUGACAUCUACAUCACAUUCAACAGCUAGAAGCCUUUAAUAAAUACUUGACUGCUUUGCAAUAACUGCUGUGUGUUUCUCAGGUUUGCACACUGAAAAAACAGUUGGAGCAGGAGAUGAAGAGGAGGCAAGCAUAUAUGAAGCAGAUGUUAAGAUUGGGGCUCUAAAAACCGAAAUGACUUGGGAAUUCAGCCAACGGUGACCAACUGACAGCUUUUUGUUCCCAAACAUGUUUGUAGUCUCUCAAAGGCUUAUAACCAAUGAAACAGGGCCUGUGCUAACAUGAAUGGACUUAUGCAUACUGAGAAGGUAACACACAUAUACUUCACACACACACUUUAGAUUUAAAAACAUACAAAAUCACUGAUCUCAGGGAGAACUGUUGGACUGCAUUUGCACAAAUACUUUAAGUAAUCCUGAUCCAUGCCAUAAGAACCCAGUAACAACAAACAAAGAGAUUACUGUUUCACCAAAUGCUUCUCAAUUGCCAAAUUGUUUUAAGGAUUUGUGCAGCAAACUGUUGAAACAGACCAUAAAUCUACCUAAAGCUUAUCCUUGUUCAUCUUAGAGCAUUAAGCACAAUCUCAAUUCUGCAUCACACACACUUUUAAACAUCUGUACCUACCUUAAAUAUUUCACCCUAGGUCCCCUAAACUGUUUAGCAAACCACAUAAUUAUUCUCUAUUUCUUUUUUAUAACAUGUUACUCUGUAGCUGACAUGAUUGAUGACAUGACUGAAAUGAUGAUCAUUAUUUAAUCACACAACCAUUAAGAGAAUAAGAUCAUCUUGUUUCAGUUAGUACCAAUAAGCUAAAUUACCGCUAGAGUGAAUCAGGACAGAAAAUGAGUCAUAUGUCUUAUCUACAAAUGUUGUUUCAUAUUAAUGCUUCUAUAUGGUGUUUCUCUUAUUAUGGGUGUUAAAACAAUUUCUAAUUCAUAAUCACUACUGUGUUACAGGUUAUUCCAUGUAAUAACUAUUAGAAAACUAGUAUUUUUUAUGAGUCAAUAAAACCAUACAAACAAGAAAAAUAACAAUGAGAUUGAUUUUUGUGGUCUAAAGAAUUGCUGUCAGCUGGCUUUGGUGUAUUUUGGAUAAUUGCUGUAGUUUAUGAUGAUGUGUGCAAAUAAGCUAUAACUGCCUAUAAAAGAAUCUUCUGUGAUGUUCUCCUUCCAAGAUUUGAUUCCCGCCACUAAUGACCCCCUGGUUAAAAAGAAUCUCAUUUUAUUUUAAAAAAAGUUGUUUCAGGCAAAUUUCAAUUAUUUGAAAUCUUGCCUUGUAUGAUUAAUUUAGGGGGAAAUUGGUUUUCAGAGAGUAAGAAAUCUUUCAGUAAAUCUCUAGUCAUAACCAAAGGGCUUUUGUAUAUUUUCCUCCUUUUGAACAGACAUCUUGUGUACAAUAUACAAAGAAUGCACUAUGUAUGCAUCAUAAGACAUCCCAACUCUUACACUGCCAUGUGGUAGUGUGUACCACACUGAGACAUGUUCCUAUGGGGAAGGGUAUUUCUCAGCAAAAGUUGAGAGCAGAGGAGAGUGCCCUGUCAGAGUCUCUUUAAAGCAGCCCUUUGAUUACCAUAGCUCCACCCAGUGCUUAUCCAGUUACUGGUCUCUUCUCAGCUAUUGGAAGAGAGUUCCUAAUCAUGCAAGGUAGUGAAUCCCUGGGGUGGGGGGGGGUGGGGCUGGGUCUGAAAGAACUCCUUUGGCAGGCAGAAUAGAGGUUUUAUUGAGGAUAUUUCUAAACUAACCAUCAGGGACCAAGUCACUGGAUUGUAAAAAAAAAAUCACUCUGCUCCCUCUCCUUUCUCUCUCUCACCCUGUUCAUUUCAGUGAGCGGCACAGAGCACAGCAGCUCUUGAGCACCCAGCAGCACACAGAAUGCAAGGAAUCUACCCCCUUGUUAUAGACCAACAGCCCAAGUACCAGGGCUGAGAAAAGAUCUGAGAAGGGAAGGGUGGAAUUAGAAACCAAAAAAGGAAACUUUACAGAAACAAGGAGAAGAAAGACAAGGAGGAUCAUUAGUUGAGCAUUUGGCACUGGGGUUUAAAGUUGUCUCUGAGUGUCCUGGAUCUUAGUCCUCUCCUCUCC
rnacentral:lncRNA from 12 species